rnacentral:rRNA from 1 species
UACGUAGGGGGCGAGCGUUGUCCGGAUUUAUUGGGCGUAAAGAGCGUGUAGGCGGCCAGGUAGGUCUGCUGUGAAAACUCGAGGCUCAACUUCGAGCUGUCGGUGGAAACUUUCUGGCUAGAGUCCGGAAGAGGAGAAUGGAAUUCCUGGUGUAGCGGUGAAAUGCGCAGAUAUCAGGAAGAACACCGGUGGCGAAGGCGGUUCUCUGGGCAUUACCUGACGCUGAGGAGCGAAAGCGUGGGGAGCAAACAGG